rnacentral:rRNA from 1 species
UACAGAGGUCCCAAGCGUUGUUCGGAUUCAUUGGGCGUAAAGGGCGCGUAGGCGGCCUACUAAGUCGAACGUGAAAUCCCUGGGCUCAACCCAGGAACUGCGUCCGAUACUGGGAGGCUUGAAUCCGGGAGAGGGAUGCGGAAUUCCAGGUGUAGCGGUGAAAUGCGUAGAUAUCUGGAGGAACACCGGUGGCGAAGGCGGCAUCCUGGACCGGCAUUGACGCUGAGGCGCGAAAGCCAGGGGAGCAAACGGG